AUGUGUAUGCUGUAAUAAUGGUGAUUCGUAUAUUCAUAUCUCAGUCAAAUAUAUUUAUAUUAGCUUUUUUAAAGUCAUUGUCUGUUUCUGUCACCAUUUCUGUCUGUUCUGUUGUUUUUAUUGCCCACAUUUAAAAAAAACUGGCUAUGAGUUCUAGAUCUAACAAUUUUUGUGUUGGAUGUCAAGUAGAUUUGGAUAUUGUGAUUGUUACAUUGCUGAGUAUCUGGAUUUUGUUGUCUACCUUUAAAGAGUGGUGCAUUUUGUAUUGGCAGGCUAUUAAUUUAUUGUGUGUUGGCCUGAUUCUUUUGUGACUUAAAAAAAAAAACUUUAAAAGAUGAAUUUAAAAUAGUCUCCCCCUACCCCCAGGAAGGUUUUGCCAGGUGUGGCUCUCCUGGGGUCUCUCCAGAAUGUCCUGAAGUCCAGUGAAUUCUCUCCAUGGAGAUAUAAGAAUUUUUUAGUUUACAACUCCCUAGUAUUUUUUUUCCCAUGCAUGGCCUUAUGGAGUUUCUUCCUGAACAUGUGCAGCUUAAUAUUUAAUGAAAGACUGAAGGGGACUAUUAUGCAAAUUUCUGGAGCUCUUUUCCUGUGUAGACUCUCUAUGGAUUUCUGUUCCACAAAUUCCCGCUGCCUUAGCCUGUUCAAACUUUGAUUUCUGUCUGUUCAAUUCAGCAGCAAGACUGUGCUUUGCUUGGACUGCUUUUUCCUAUACUGUGGCCUUGAAGAUGCUGCCAGACGGAAUGCCAAGCCUACUGGAGGAUUCAUCUAGCUGGCAUCUCCUUUGUCAAGGAUCACAGUUUGGCAUUGCUCAUUCUCUAAUGUCUAAAAAAAAUAGUUUCAUCGAUUUUGUCCAGUUUCCUAGUUAUUUAUCACAGGAGGGUUAACCUGCUCUCACUGUUUAUCACAGCUGGGAAAAUCUGGCCUCAGAGCCAUUGAUAUAAUCUAUGAUAGACAACAGUAUAUUUUUAACCAACUUACAUAAGAAAUGCUCAUUGAGUCUAUAUUUCUUCUAAAGAAAUUACUGAGGAGAGUGUAAAGCUAACCAAAAAUGAAGAUGUAUGACUUCUGUAUGAUCACGUUAAUACACCUGUUUAAUAAUCCUUUCCAAAUAGGAAACAAGAUUAGUGCAUUUGAGUUAGUGAUAAUGAACCCAUGCUAGCCUACAGGAAUCACCUCUUUCUCUUCAUUAGUCAGUUGUUUAAUUACAUUUUCUAAGAUUUUUUUCUAGAGAAUGUUCACCAUAAAGCAGUUUUCAGAAUUUAAUUUUUUAAUAUGAAAAUAUUGGUUUAUUUCUAGUGUUUUGACAUAAUAUUUAUUAGCAUCAUUUAUUCACUUCUGUGUGCUUACUAUGUGUUAAUACCUAGCAGUAUGCCAAGUAUUUUACAUACAUCAUCUUUUUAGAGUCAUCACACCCUAUGAGUUAGGUUCUUCUAUUAUCUUCACUUAAUAGAAGAAGAAACUAAGAUUUAGAGAUAUAAAAUAACAUGCCCAAGGGCACACAGCCAGAAAGAAAUGGAGCUGAAAUCUGAAUCAAAGCACAUUGGCCAGAAAAUGCUGGUAACCUUUCUCAGCGUCACCUUUCCCAGUCUUCAUGCUUUUUCAAGAACUUGCCUUUUUAAUCAAGUAUCUUAACUCUUCUUUUGUUUCUACUCAUUUGAAGUACUGAAAGAAUGACAAAUACGAGCAAUAACACGGGACUCUUCAGCGAAUACUGGGUGUGUUCUACUGAUUAAUUCACUUCAUCUCUUUCUACUUUUAGGGCAUUCCUAGCAAAUGGCACUAUAUGUGAAAAACAGCAGAAGCACCAAACAAAACUCAUUAGUUCAAAUGAAAUGUGGUUCUGUUCACAGCAACUUCACAGCACAUGGGUGCUGUGAGGGCAGAAAAGAAGGAAACACAUUUGGGAUACAUAAGGUACUCGUAAUCAAAAUGCGCAUCUAAAGUUCAUAGAUAUAUUUGGUAUAACAAUGGCUACAACACCUGAAUUGAGUUAAUUAAUGCUUUUCUUAUGAAGAACAUAGUACCUAAAUAUAUCAUAGAAUUUUGUUGUUAGUGGUUUUAGGAGGGGAAUCAUUCACCAAAUAGGAGACAAGAAAAACCACAGAGUAAGAGCUGGGCAAGUACACUGUGCUGGAGGGAGAGGAGACCCAAGGGACGAACAGAUCAGACUAGCUCAUCUAUUUAAAGAUGAGUAAGAAUUUGCCCAACAGAUGGGAAUAACUGGACCUGGAGAGAGGGCAUUCCAGGUGAAUGGAACAAUGUUACAAUAGCAUGGAGGCAUGAAACAGACCAUGUUCUCUUUGAUAAGUAAUUUAACAUAUAUAUGCCAUGUGCAUAGACCAAGUUAAAAUUUUAAUCUUCUCUUCUAACGAGUUUACAGUUUAAUUGAAUGGAAAAGGUAUGAGUGUGGAAAUAAAACAUUGAUAAUAAUGAUGGGGGGGUCCAAUAAAUUAUCUGUGGAAUGAAUGAAUGUCAGAGAGUGCUAAAUGCCUAAUCCCUAAUGCCUAGUGCCAACAGGAAGACCUGCAGGAGGACAGAGCAGGGGCUGUUCAUUUUUGCAUGACAUGAUCUGCAGAGUCCCUGAAGGAGAAACAGGACUUGGUCUAGACUUUGCAAGGUGGAUAGAAGUUGAAUAAAUGGAUAAGAGAAGAUAUCCAAGGGAGUGAAGAGCAGCAUGAACAGAAUGCAGCAGGACAGAGGCAUGAGAGGAGGCACGAAAGGAGCAAGAGAGAGAAGGAGGAACCAGACGGUAGGCACCAUAGUGGGCAUGAGUGCCAGCAUGGUGCACUUGGAAUCUGACUUUGUCUAAGAGUUUUGGGGGAGUCCUUAAAGGACUAUAAGAAAGGAACUGACGGCAUAAAAGUUGCCUUUAGUAUUUUUGGACUAAAGUGAAUCAUAAAUAAUUGGAUGCAUUAAAAAAAACAUUUCUCACAAUAUUAAACACCUACCGAGUACCAUGCAUGGGGUGUAUACCAAGAGAAAUAAAUGCAGUCCUUGCUCUUAAGGAAUUUUACAAAUGAAAGUAGAGGUUGAGAGGGAUGACUCUGCAGUGAUAAGGAGGGAGGGAGAGGCAGUCAUACCACCCAGUUAUGAAGCAGUUAAGAUGAUUUCAAAACCAUGAUCUAAGGGGGUGGAUGGUUACAGGGGCAGAAGACCUAAAAUGCAAAGGAUGGAUGUUUGUGCCUUCAGAGAGUGAGGAAUGGCAGGUUUGGUUUUUGACCAAAGAUAGCAGGCUAUUGAGACCAGAGGAAGGCCAAGGUUUUGAACUUUGAUGAAGAGAAUGUUGGUGCCACCAAUGGCAGAAAUUCAGUCAAAAUUAUUGAGUGUUGGGCUGGGGAUGUGGCUCAAGCCGUAAUGCGCCUGCCUGGCCUGUGCGGGGCGCUGGGUUCGAUCCUCAGCACCACAUAAAAAUAAAAUAAAGAUGUUGUGUGCACCGAAAACUAAAAUUCUCUCUCUCUCUCUUUAAAAAAAAAAUUAUUGAGUGUCGGCUGGAUGUCACGGCGCACACCUGAAAUCUAGCAGCUCAGGAAGCUGAGACAGGAAGAUUGUGAGUUCAAAGCAAGCCUCAGCAACUGCAAGACACACCUGCCUCUUGUAAUCAGCAGAUUCCUGCAUUACCUCGUGAGCACAGCAUCAGAAUUGAGGCUCAGUUUUCUCAUCUGUCAAAUGGAAAACCGGAAGCAGCCAAUUCACAGGUGACUAUGAGCAGCCUAUUAGGUUACAUUUCCAAAGUCACCUACAACGUGGCUGUGAAUAGAAAUGUCACCUCCCGGCCAGCAUUCAAGUCCUGAGGAUUCCUGCGUGAGCCUGCAGCCCACUUUAUCCAAAUGAAGCUUCAACUGUGGCAAUGAAUGGCCUUUGGCUACCUGUGGAACUUGCUGCAUUCUUGGAUGGUCCCAGACGAGGAGGGAAUCUUACGGCCGAUUCUAAAAGAAUUGAGAAGUCAGAGACACCCAGAAAGACAGGAUUGAUGCCCCUACCCCGUGCAUGCCCCUGUGUUCUUGAUCCGGAUGGAUGUGACAGUGACCUAGAACUCAAAGGCUUGUGGUUUGCACAUCUGGCCUCUCUUGAUCCUUACCUUUCUCACUCUCCAGAAAGCUAAGAAGCGGCUUCCAAACAACUCCAGCUCCACUGGGGGCUGGAGCGGGAGGCAGGCUGGUCUGGCUGCAGCAGUAAUCUGUUUGGUUUACUGGGUCAGUUUCCUGUCAGGGCUCACUGUGGUUGAAAGCUAUUGUGGAGCCUGGUUUCUUAUUGACAGAGCCUUUAUAAGCCCCCACCCAGUAUGUCUGCUCUUGCCUCCAUCCAGGACGCCCCAGCUUCUCCGUAACCUUCUCCAGCUUUGCUUCUGUUAUUGAAGGCUAGACAUGGUUUUCCUGGGUGACCCUAUGCAGGACCAUAGGAGAGCCUGAAUCCCACAUUUGGGGGCCCAACAAAGGGUGGAUGCUGGUUUCUCAUCUUCAUUUCCAGCGAAACAUGGCUACAACACAGUUUCCUUUUUUUGGAAUUUCACUUGAUUUAUAAACGACACCUGUGGUCUUAUUCUCCUUCAUCUAUGUCUGCACACUGCCCUAUAUUAGCCACAUAUGACUACUGUAUACUCAAAUGGGGCUGGUCCAAAUUCAGAUUUCUAUAGACAGAGUGCACACUAGAUUUCAAAGAAUGUAAUUUACCUUAUUUAAAAUUUUAUAUUGGGUAUAUGAUGAAAUAGUAAUAUUUUAGUAUAUUAGGGUUAAAC